rnacentral:lncRNA from 1 species
CACAACCCGAUUAAUUUAAUAACCCAAAACCGGCCCACUUAACAGCUAUACCCUAGAUAGGAAGGUGUGGAUAACACGAAUUAGGUCGGUAGAACGCUAAUAGGACGGAGUGUGUCGUGGCUAGUAUGUAGGAGUGCUUAUGUCAUGCUAUACUGGUAAUUUCUUAUUCUGCUUUUUACUUUCUUAAAUUUUGUAUUAAGUCAAAUAUGACCGAUGGACAAAUAAUCGUACCUUACUUGAAAAAAGUUAUAUAGCAUUAUU